AGGUAGAGCACUGUUUGGACGAGGGGCCCUUCUCGGGUUACCGAAUUCAGACAAACUCCGAAUGCCAAUCAAUUUAACUUGGGAGUCAGAACGCGGGUGAUAAGGUCCGUGUUCGAAAGGGAAACAGCCCAGACCACCAGCUAAGGUCCCAAAAUAUAUGUUAAGUGGCAAAGGAUGUGGCGUUGCCCAGACAACUAGUAUGUUGGCUUAGAAGCAGCCAUCAUUUAAAGAGUGCGUAAUAGCUCACUAGUCGAGUGACACUGCGCCGAAAAUGUACCGGGGCUAAACAUAUUACCGAAGCUGUGGAUUGUCC
rnacentral:rRNA from 1 species